rnacentral:rRNA from 1 species
CCUACGGGAGGCAGCAGUGGGGGAUAUUGCACAAUGGGGGGAACCCUGAUGCAGCGACGCCGCGUGGGUGAAGGAGCGUUUCGGCGCGUAAAGCCCUAUCGGCAGGGAAGAAGGAGGACGGUACCUGACUAAGAAGCCCCGGCUAACCACGGGCCAGCAGCCGCGGUAAUACGUAGGGGGCAAGCGUUAUUCGGAUGUACUGGGUGUAAAGGGGGCGCAGACGGCAGCGCAAGCCAGGAGUGAAAGCCCCGGGCGCAACCCCGGGACUGCACAUGGCACUGCGCGGCUGGAGUGCAGGAGAGGCAGGCGGAAUUCCUGGUGUAGCGGUGAAAUGCGUAGAUAUCAGGAGGAACACCGGUGGCGAAGGCGGCCUGCUGGACUGCGACUGACGUUGAGGCACGAAAGCGUGGGGAGCAAACAGGAUUAGAUACCCCAGUAGUC